rnacentral:antisense_RNA from 1 species
CCCUAUGGGCGGGCCGUGUUGGGAGACCGCAAGGUCUGCCGGUCCCUGGAUCCGGUUCGCCAACCCGACACGGUUCCGCUCACCCCG